AGUGAACGCUGGCGGUAUGCUUUACACAUGCAAGUCGAACGGCAGCACAGUCAUCGCCCUCGCUUCCGGUUGCCGACGGGCGAAUGAGUGAGCGGAACGUCGGCAUCUAUUGGGUAUAGGGGGACAACGGCGGGAAUCAUACCGCAAUAGCCCUUACGAUGAACGGGGGAGAUCAUGGGACCUUCCGCCAUUGCGCGGGCCGAUGGGCGGAUGUCAGAUUAGCUAGUUGGUGGGGUAAAGGCCCACCAAGGCGACGAUCCGUAGCUGGUCUGAGAGGACGACCAGCCACACUGGGACUGAGACACGGCCCAGACUCCUACGGGAGGCAGCAGUGGGGAAUUUUGGACAAUGGGCGAAAGCCUGAUCCAGCAAUGCCGCGUGCGUGAUGAAGGCCUUCGGGUUGUAAAGCACUUUUGGCGGGAACGAAAAGGAGUGUGCCAAUACCACGGUUUGAUGACGGUACCCGCAGAAUAAGCACCGGCUAACUACGUG
rnacentral:rRNA from 1 species